rnacentral:rRNA from 1 species
GACGAACGCUGGCGGCGUGCUUAACACAUGCAAGUCGAACGGUAAGGCCCUGCUUUUGUGGGGUGCUCGAGUGGCGAACGGGUGAGUAACACGUGAGUAACCUGCCCUCGACUUUGGGAUAACGUCAGGAAACUGGUGCUAAUACCGGAUAUGAGCUCCUGCUCGCUGGGGGGGGUUGGGAAAGGUCUGCUGUUGGGGAGGGUGUGGCGGCUUCUCAGCUUGUUGGUGGGGUGGUGGCUUACCAAGGCUUUGACGGGUAGUCGGCCUGGUAGGGUGACCGGUCACAUUGCGACUGAGAUUGGGCCCAGACUCCGACGGGAGGCAGAAGGGGAGAAAACUGUACAAUGGGCGCAAGCCUGAGGCAGAGACGCAGCGUGCGGGAUGGAGGCCUUGGGGUUGGGAACCUCUUUGGCUCAUGCUUAAGCCGCAACAAUGGUGGUGGUGAGGGUAGUGGGUAAAGAAGCGCCGGCUAACUACGUG